UGACUUUUCUUGCUUAGCUUACGUUGCCACUGACUAUGAAAGACCUGCAGUGUAAAGUAUUCAAACAAUAUCAUUCAUUUCACUUUGUUUUCUGCAAGAACAUGCAAGUUCUCCAAACUCAGAGCACUUCUCAGAUGCAUAAUCUGUUGCUUCUAACUUCUUAUAACUGGUACAACUCCAGAUCUCAGCUGGUAGCUUGGGUAAAACAAUACAUUCACUAUUCUGAAGUUACCCUUCACCUAUCGUAUGUGCCACACACAGGAUACACAGGAUCCGGACCAGAUAUCAGGAAUGCUAACCAUCAUGAACACUUUCCAUUCCUUCUGAAGUCUACAUUUUUACUUACAGCAAUGUGUUAAUAAGUGUGACAGCAUAUUCUAAAACGACUGCAAUCUCUAAAAGUUUAGAAGGAAUCUCCACAGAUAAAUUUGAAUUGCCUGUCUCAGUCCUGAACAGAUUUUGAAAAUGGGACUUUCCUGGCUGAGCUCAGAGUAAAACAGAUGUCAGAAAAUGAAAAAGAAAAAAAGAAACUCCCAGUGAUUGAAUGGACAGAAUUAACACCCUCUGAGAGAGGCAGCAGCAUCUGUUUGUCCCUGCCACCGAGGAGCUGUGACAACCUUUGUCCAGGGGUUGGAUUCCUGGAGCAGGGUCAGGAGAUGGCCUGGGUGCUCCUCACAUGCUUCACCACAAGGACCAAGACAGCUCCCAGGCUACUUCCCAAGCCUCAGCAACUGUUUUCAUUUAGGGUAUGGACAGAACUGCUGCUGGUUUGGAAAUGAAAACCAGCACAGAACAAGGUUUUAUUCAGAGCAAGCAGCUCUACUUCAAUCCCCAAAGAGCGGGCUUUGAUUUGAGACAAUUAAAGCCCUUACUCCCCAUAAAGUAAGGUUUCGUGACCGUAAGUAAAGUCUUCCAAUGGCCAACUGUUGGUUCAUUUCCAGAAACUUUGCUAUUUAGUCAUCCUAACUGAAGACUGAAGACAGUGUCCAACGAGAUGCAAGUGCUGUAAAACAUGGAUGAGACAGAAUCCUUCCCUCCACAGAAGUCAGAACAGGGAUCUCUUACUUCUUAACAGUAAAAUGCACCACCAUCUGCAGCAACAUCAUUGGUUAUUUAAGACUACUUCCAGAACUGAAAGACUUUUUGUUAAAUAACUUCUAGAUUUUAAAAAAAGAGAGAAUUUUAAUGUCACAAAUGCUUGGGCUGUGCUUCAGGUUCUGGGAGGAAAUUUAGAUGUUACCAUUAUGAAGUACACCAAACUUCACAAAAGCUCAAAGCUCAAGCAAGACAAGCCAGCAGCCUCACCAAUGGAAUUUACUGAACUAUUUAGUUUUUCAGCCAGCACCUUUAUUAAAGCAAACAAUGCAGACAACAAAAACCCCACUAAAUGUCUGGCCAAAAACUGUAAUUUGAUCCUUUUAAAUCACAGUUUUAGGCCACGUAUGUACUACUCAGAAGGGAAUUACACAGGCAGUAUCAACGGCCUCUUACCCAUGGUGAUGGAUGUGGUCUUGGCUCACAGGCUUUAUAACAUACUGAAUUUCAGUCCUUGGAGGGUCUUGUAUUCUGCUAGCUGCUCUAAAAUAAUGUAGAAGAGACCAAAUAAGGUAAUUAAACAAGACUAAAAGCAUAUCCUGAGAGGCUUGCCUUAUUUUUUUUAAAAAACUGUUUUCUGUACUUCCGUGCAUACAAUAGCAGAUUGGAGCCCAGUUGCUGUGCUGUGAAGAGGGACAUGACUGAGGAAGUUUCCCAGACGCAGCCAUUUAGAUGGGAACAAAGUUCAGAGCGAAAGUUGUUAUCCCAGCAUGUCUUGGGUACCCUCAUCUUACUGACUGAACAAAAUAUCAG
ensembl:lncRNA